rnacentral:rRNA from 1 species
AGAGUUUGAUCCUGGCUCAGGAUGAACGCUAGCUACAGGCUUAACACAUGCAAGUCGAGGGGAAACGAUGCGGAAGCUUGCUUCUGCAGGCGUCGACCGGCGCACGGGUGAGUAACGCGUAUCCAACCUGCCCCGAGGUAAGGAAUAAUCCGUAGAAAUGCGGUCUAAUACCUUAUGUGCUCCGAAGAGGACAUCUAAUUUGGAGUAAAGAUUUAUCGCCUUGGGAUGGGGAUGCGUCUGAUUAGAUUGUUGGCGGGGCAACGGCCCACCAAGUCAUCGAUCAGUAGGGGUUCUGAGAGGAAAGUCCCCCACAUUGGAACUGAGACACGGUCCAAACUCCUACGGGAGGCAGCAGUGAGGAAUAUUGGUCAAUGGGUGAGAACCUGAACCAGCCAAGUAGCGUGCAGGAUGACGGCCCUAUGGGUUGNAAACUGCUUUUGUACGGGGAUAAAGGAGCCUACGUGUGGGUUUUUGCAGGUACCGUACGAAUAAGGACCGGGCUAAUUCCGUGCCAUCAGCCGCGGUAAAUACGGAAGGUCCGGGCGUUAUCCGGAUUUAUUGGGGUUUAAGGGAGCGCAUGCCNUCCGGUAAGCGUGGUUGUGAAAUGUAGGCCCCCAACCCCUGUACUUGCAGCGCGAACUUGGCNUGACUUGGAUUACGCAUCGAAGUUGGUGGAAUUUGGCCGNGUAACGGGGGAAAUGGCNNAGGAUAUGGCCGAAAAAUCUCNAUUGGNNAAGGG